UACGAAGGGGGCUAGCGUUGCUCGGAAUCACUGGGCGUAAAGGGCGCGUAGGCGGCUCUUUAAGUCCGGGGUGAAAUCCUGGAGUUCAACUCCAGAACUGCCUUUGAUACUGAAGAUCUUGAGUUCGGGAGAGGUGAGUGGAACUGCGAGUGUAGAGGUGAAAUUCGUAGAUAUUCGCAAGAACACCAGUGGCGAAGGCGGCUCACUGGACCGAUACUGACGCUGAGGCACGAAAGCGUGGGGAGCAAACAGG
rnacentral:rRNA from 1 species